rnacentral:rRNA from 1 species
CCCUUAGAUGUUCUGGGCCGCACGCGCGCUACACUGAAGGGAUCAGCGUGUUUUCCCUUUCCGAGAGGAACGGGUAACCCGCUGAACCCCCUUCGUGGUAGGGAUCGGAGCUUGCAAUUGUUCUCCGUGAACCAGGAAUUCCCAGUAAGCGCAAGUCAUAAGCUUUCGUUGAUUACGUCCCUGCCCUUUGUACACACCGCCCGUCGCUACUACCGAUUGAACGUUUUAGUGAGGUAUUUGGACUGGGCCUUGGGAGGUUUCGGCCUCCCUUGUUGCUCGGAAAGACUCCCAAACUUGAGCGUUUAGAGGAAGUAAAAGUCGUAACA